rnacentral:rRNA from 1 species
CAGUAGCCGCGGGAAUACGUAGGUGGCAAGCGUUGUCCGGAAUUAUUGGGCGUAAAGCGCGCGCAGGUGGUUUAAUAAGUCUGAUGUGAAAGCCCACGGCUCAACCGUGGAGGGUCAUUGGAAACUGUUAAACUUGAGUGCAGGAGAGAAAAGUGGAAUUCCUAGUGUAGCGGUGAAAUGCGUAGAGAUUAGGAGGAACACCAGUGGCGAAGGCGGCUUUUUGGCCUGUAACUGACACUGAGGCGCGAAAGCGUGGGGAGCAAACAGGAUUAGAUACCCCCGUAGUCCCUGUCUCUUAUAU